CAGCCGCCGCGGUAAUACGUAGGGGGCGAGCGUUGUCCGGAAUUAUUGGGCGUAAAGGGCGUGUAGGCGGUCUGGGAAGUCUGAUGUGAAAAUCCGCGGCUCAACCGCGGAAGGCCAUUGGAAACUCUCGGACUUGAGAGCAGGAGAGGAGAGCGGAAUUCCACGUGUAGCGGUGAAAUGCGUAGAGAUGUGGAGGAACACCAGUGGCGAAGGCGGCUCUCUGGCCUGGCUCUGACGCUGAGGCGCGAAAGCGUGGGGAGCAAACAGGAUUAGAUACCCUGGUAGUCCACGCCGUAAACGAUGAGUGCUAGGUGUUAGUGGGGAUACCCAUUAGUGCCGAAGGAAACCCAAUAAGCACUCCGCCUGGGGAGUACGGCUGCAAGGCUGAAACUUAAAGGAAUUGGCGGG
rnacentral:rRNA from 1 species